rnacentral:rRNA from 1 species
UUCUCUACGGGGGGCAGCAGUGGGGAAUCUUCCGCAAUGGGCGAAAGCCUGACGGAGCAACGCCGCGUGAUCGAAUGAAGGCCUUCGGGUUGUAAAACCCUGUUGUUAGAGAAGAAAGUGCGUGAGAGUAACUGUUCACGUUUCGACGGUAUCUAACCAGAAAGCCACGGCUAACUACGUGCCAGCGGCCGCGGUAAUACGUAGGUGGCAAGCGUUAUCCGGAUUUAUUGGGCGUAAAGGGAACGCAGGCGGUCUUUUAAGUCUGAUGUGAAAGCCUUCGGCUUAACCGGAGUAGUGCAUUGGAA